rnacentral:ncRNA from 1 species
UCCUAAGGUAGCGAAAUACCUUGGCCGUUAAAUGCGGUCCUGCAUGAAUGACUUAACGAUACAACAGCUGUCUCGAUGAUUGUCUCAGUGAAAUUGGAAUAGCAGUGCAGAUACUGUUUACCUCUAGAUAGACGAGAAGACCCUAUGCAGCUUUACUGUUACUAAUUGCAAGAGUGAAAAUUUAGGAUGAUUUCGAGUGUAUAAGGUAGUUGUCUGAUAACAAUGAAACACCUUUAUUCGUUUCUUAUUAUAUGCUCUUGAGGAUUAGGAGGCAGUUUAUGCGGGGCACAGAUCCCACAAAAAGUACCUGGGUAUAUCCAAAGUUCAUAUUGUAAAUUUGUAAAUUUUUUUACAAAUAUUUUAAUUUGUUAUAAUUAUAUUUAUAAUUAUACAGUUAUUGUUAGAUUAAAUUCAAUAUGUUUUUUAUUUUUAAGUAAGAUUUUAACUAUAUGGUGAAUAGAUGUAUUUUAAACUUUAAUAUUUAAAAGUUUUUUGUCAUAUUAAUAUUGUAUUUUUUACCUUUAUUAAUAUGAUGAUUAAUUAUACUUUAAAAGUUUAAUGGCUAAAUCUUGCUUUACUGUUUGACCUACAAGUCUAUCAGUCGCGUAAGCGGGGCAUAUGAUCACAAGAUGCAUUAAGGAAAGGUCUUGGAUUAUAGAAAAAGUUACGCUAGGGAUUUAUAACUGUGAGUCCUCCAAUAU